CAUCUUGGCCAUAAACCUCAGCUUAUCAAACCAAGUGAAGAAAGCUUACAGUCCCCAAACAUACCUAGACAGCAUGUUUGGGAUUGAAUCUUAAAAACGUAAAUCAUUCAAGCAUCAUCAGCAAUCAGCUCAGUUCACUUCUCCUCUUGCAGGGAGCAAAUAUGAUAUUUUGGCUUGGUUUAAUUUUGCGCCCUGCACAGAUUGUGCUACCUUCUAUGAAUUCAGGAAGAGAUAGCCAUUGUCCAGAAGCCCAACUUUUGAAAAUGGAAUGGUAGCUGCUUCCUUUAAGACAGGGUUGGUUGGUUCUGCAUCUGGAGUGAAUCCAGUUUCCCUGUUGGUAGUGGGGAAAAUGAGGUCACACCCCCUACCCCUCCCUUCUUCUCCAAGUCUCCCUGCUCUUGAACCUGGAUCUCCAGCCCCCCAAAAAGGUUCUCCCAUCCUGACUGCACUUUGAAGGUUGCAGAAGAGAUUGCAAGAUGAAAGCUUUGCUAUUUGCCUUGUUGUUGGUGGCAUUCAUGUGCAAGGACCCAGUUGCGGGUCUGUAGUGUCUUCGAUGUUAUGGUGCUUGCAAAGAGGAAAUAUGUUUGGAAGACCAACCUGUCUGUUAUACUCUGGACAACGGAGUGGGACAGGCUGUUCGCAGAAGAUGUGCCCCCACAUGAUCUCAAGGGGACAAUGGGCUGGAGGCUAAAUGUUGCACAACUAACUUUUGCAAUGAAUAAAAUUAUCCUUCUGAUUUUAAAAUGAGCUUUGUUGAGUUUUGCUGUCAUCCAUCAUGGACCAUCCUUUGCAGAUUUAGGUUUGUGGCCUUUACGGUCCAUAAUUCAACCCCUCAGCUUCUCUGGACACUUCGCCCUCUCUCCCUUUUCUCCUGGCCUACAUGCUUUGUUCUGCUCUUUCUCUAGUUUGGCAACGGAAUAAAUUUCUGCAUUUAAAUCCAAGCGUACUGGGUGUGUUUGCUAUGAUGUGUCCAUUUUCCUUUUGGGAAAGUUAAAUUGUGGAAUAGUAGAAGGCUGAAAGUUUAUAUAUAUAUAUAUAUAUAUAAUCCAAAGAGCGCCAAAGAAUUGAG